AAAAAGGAAGGGGUCUGUUGCCUAUGUGAGCAGUCCUCUCGUAACCUUCAGGGAUAAAGUAACCAUUGUUGUUGGGUGAACCUCUGUUCCCUGUUCAUGACUGAAGGUUCAGUAAAUGAUGGGACAUUU